rnacentral:rRNA from 1 species
AUACGGAGGGUGCAAGCGUUACUCGGAAUCACUGGGCGUAAAGCGCGCGCAGGCGGCUUGAUAAGUUGGAUGUGAAAGCCUACGGCUCAACCGUAGAACUGCAUCCAAAACUGUCAGGCUAGAGUGUGAGAGAGGAAGAUGGAAUUAGUUGUGUAGGGGUAAAAUCCGUAGAGAUAACUAGGAAUACCAAAAGCGAAGGCAAUCUUCUGGAACACUACUGACGCUGAGGCGCGAAGGCGUGGGGAGCAAACAGGAUUAGAAACCCGAGUAGUCC